UGGCUACAUAGAGUGCCUGUAUUCAUCUGCAUUGAAACCCCUUGAGAAUUUUUAUAGGUUGAACCAAGACAGAAUAAUGAAAUGAACCCUUCAAGGCAGGAAGGCAGAAGCAGACAUAAAAGAUGAUUUCUCUGUGUUGUUUGGCCUUUAUGGGAAGAACCAUGAUGAGCUUCUAGAAAAUGCAUUAUUGAGUUGAUGUAAUAAGGCACUGUGUGAGGUGUAGUCUCUGUUCUCUCGGAGCUCAUGGUCUCAGAGGAAGACAGAUGAAAUCACGCUGAUGAAUGUAUACUUAGACGCCAAGCCGCAUGCUGCUUUCCUUUAAGAGACCACCAAAGGACGUCUCAGAUGUUGUUGGAGACAAACAUCCCUAACAAAAGAAGAAAAAACUGCUGAGUGGCAUAUCCUGUCCCUGCUUCAACAGCCUUCCCCAAGUUCAGCAUCAUUUGAACAUGAGGAAGGAAAAAAAAUGAUGAACUCCCACAUUCUGCCUCAGUGACUAGUCCAGUGUUGGCAACAUCUUCAUCCUGGGCAACAGAGUCCUUCCCAUGGAAUAGUGUAACUUGAGCUUGGGAGGGACAGCACUUUCUGCUCUGGAGGUAAGAUCAGGAAAACAUGAAUCCAGAGCCAUCAGCUGCCCCAGGCCUAUUGCAUGACCCAAGCCCAACUGCAAGAGGAGAGAAAGGACCUGGCACAAACAAGAGAAACAGAGGAGAUCAAAGCAGCUGCAUCAUCUCAUUAACCUUCACUCAGCACCACGAAGGAGAUGGCGAGAUGAUCAACGAGGCCCGAAGAGGCUACAUAACCUUCCCAAAGUCAUACAACCAGAUUUUUGGACCCAGAUGAUCUGAUGCCAGAGAUCUGGCCUUCACUACACUGAAGAAACCUUUGCCAGCAUUGAAAGGUACAUGACUAUUAAUAAGGCGGACCCUCCAUCCUUUCUAAGCUUCAUUCAGCCAGUGCAUUGUUCAAGAUAUCCGGGGAACUGGGAUACCCCAGUAAGAUGCCAGGAGAGACUCAAUUAGCCAAGACAGCUUAACUUUAAAGGUAACAAAGAUUGUUUGAAGGUCUCUUAUUUUUGAAAUAAAGGACCCUCCUCUUCCUGAAUAAUACACCACCCCUUGCAUAGAAUAUUUUCUGUGUAGGAACAGAGUUCAAGGCGACCUGGAGUGGCUUUGUUUCGUUUUGUUUUGUUUUUUCA